rnacentral:lncRNA from 13 species
AUGUCGCUGUUGCACUACGGUAGUGGGAAACAGGAAGUUCCGGGUUGCCUGCCACCAUUCUUCGGAGUAAAGAAAACGGCAGAACGGUGUUGUGCGUUUCGCUUUAUUACUACAGGCCAACUCCGAUUAUGUCUGAGGCCAUCAAAAGUGAGGACAAACCCAAUCUACAGUCACUGGGUCCUGAUUGUGACAGUGGAGCCCAGUUUGUACUGCAGGAUCCAGAGAUGGCAUCAGUGAAGCUGGAAGACUGCAGUCAAACACUGGAGCUGAAUGUCAACAUUAAAGAUGAAGAAGAGGAGGAGAAGAUUGGGGAAUCUGUUUAUGAUGGUAAGAGCAGGUUAUAUUUAUAAGUUAUCUUCAUAAAUUAGACCUCCAUAAGUUAUUGAUAUGACAGAUUUACAGAAUGAAACCUAACACAUCCUUGAACAAGUUCUAUGAAAUGAGCCUGUAGUUUCUAACCCUUGUGAUAGUGAGUGGAGGAUUAUAUGAAAUGAGUCUGUGUAGUUUCUAACCCUUGUGAUAGUGAGUGGAGGAUGAUAUGAAAUGAGUCUGUAGUUACUAACCCUUGUGAUAGUGAGUGGAGGAUGAUAUGAAAUGAGUCUGUAGUUACUAACCCUUGUGAUAGUGAGUGGAGGAUGAUAUGAAAUGAGUCUGUAGUUACUAACCCUUGUGAUAGUGAGUGGAGGAUGAUAUGAAAUGAGUCUGUAGUUACUAACCCUUGUGAUAGUGAGUGGAGGAUGAUAUGAAAUGAGUCUGUAGUUACUAACCCUUGUGAUAGUNNNNNNNNNNGUACAGAAACCCAGCCUAAAACCCCAAACAGCAAGCAAUGCAGGUGUAGAAGCACGGUGGCUAGGAAAAACUCCCUAGAAAGGCCAAAACCUAGGAAGAAACCUAGAGAGGAACCAGGCUAUGAGGGGUGGCCAGUCCUCUUCUGGCUGUGCCGGGUGGAGAUUAUAACAGAACAUGGCCAAGAUGUUCAAAUGUUCAUAAAUGACCAGUAUUGUCAAAUAAUAAUAAUCACAGUAGUUGUCGAGGGUACAACAGGUCAGCACCUCAGGAGUAAAUGUCAGUUCGCUUUUCAUCGCCGAUCAUUGAGAGUAUCUCUACCACUCCUGCUGUCUCUAGAGAGUUGAAAUGUCUGGGAGAGGUAGCACGUCCGGUGAACAGGUCAGGCAGGGUUCCAUAACCACAGGCAGAACAGUUGAAACUGGAGCAGCAGCACGGCCAGGUGGACUGGGGACAGCAAGGAGUCGUCAUGCCAGGUAGUCCCGAGGCAUGGUCCUAGGGCUCAGGUCCUCCGAGAGAGAGAAACAAAGAAAGAGAGAAUUAGAGAGAGCAUACUUAAAUUUGCACAGUAUAAGACAGGAGAAAUACUCCAGAUAUAACAGACUGACCCUAGCCCCCUGACACACAAACUACUGCAGCAUAAAUACUGGAGGCUGAGACAGGAGGGGUCAGGAGACACUGUGGCCCCAUCCGAUGGCAUUCUCUCAACCAGCUUCACAUGGAGUGUUUUUCCAACAGUCUUGAAGGAGUUCCCACAUAUGUUGAGCACUUCUUGGAUGCUUUUCCUUCACUCUGCGCUCCAACUCAUCCCAGACCAUUGGGUUGGGUAGAAGUCGGGUGAUUGUGGAGGCCAGGUCAUCUAAUGCAGCACUCCAUUACUCCUGGAGGUGUGCUUUGGGUCAUUUGCCUGUUGAAAAACAAAUGAUAAUCCCGCAAAACAGAUGGGAUGGCGUAUCGCUGCAGAGUGCUGUGGUAGCCAUGCGGGUUAAGUGCGACUUGAAUUCUAAAUAAAUCAAUGACGGUGUCACCAGCAAAGCACCAUCACACCUCCUCCUCCAUGCUUCUCAGUGGGAACCACACAUGUGGAGAUCAUCUGUUCACCUAGUGUGCGUCUCACAAAGACAGAGGUUAGAACCAGAAAUCUCACAUUUGGACUCAUCAGACUAAAGGACAGAUUUUCACCGGUCUAAUUUCCAUUGCUCGUGUUUCUUGGCCCAAGCAAGUCUCUUCUUAUCAUUGGUGUCCUUUAGUAGUGGUUUCUUUGCAGCAAUUCAGCCAUGAAGGUCUGAUUCACACAGUCUCCUCAGAAAUGUUGAUGUUGAGGUGUGUCUGUUGAACUCUGUGAAGCAUUUAUUUGGUCUGCCAUCUGAGGUGAAGCUGGAAGACAGGUACACCUGUUAAUUGAAAUGCAUUCCAGGUAACUACCUCAUGAAGCUGGUUGAGAGAAUGCCAAGACUGUGCAAAGCUGUCAUCAAGGCAAAGGGUGGCUACUCUGGAGAAUCUCAAAUAUAAAAUAUAUUUUGAUUUCACUUUUUUUGUUAAUACAUGAUUCCAUAUGUGUUAUUUCAAAGUUUUGAUGUCUUCACUAUUAUUAUACAAUAUAGAAAAUAGAAAAAUAAAGAAAAACCCUUGAAUGAGUGUCAACUUUUGAUUGAUACUGUAUUUCUAAAAAAUGUAUGAUACACGAGACAUCUGUCUGAUUCACGCCUGUCUGGGUGGACUAGUCCAUUUGCCUGUCUGGGUGGACUAGUCCAUUUGCCUGUCUGGGUGGACUAGUCCAUUUGCCUGUCUGGGUGGACUAGUCCAUUUGCCUGUCUGGGUGGACUAGUCCAUUUGCCUGUCUGGGUGGACUAGUCCAUUUGCCUGUCUGGGUGGACUAGUCCAUUUGCCUGUCUGGGUGGACUAGUCCAUUGCGGAGGGCAUGGCUCACUAGUAGUACAUUUAGCCUACCUUUUAAUUCCCAUAAUUUCUAAUCUACAAUGUUUGUUUGGUUACGGUAAUGCAUUCAAUAUGUUAUUACAGUCUUACCAUUGUCAUUGUAGGAGUGGACACGUUGUUUGUAGAGCAUAUACAACCUAGGCUACACUUGUGAGAAAAGUUUUGGUGUAUUUACUUCCAUUUACGAGUUUACUAUUUAUUAUUUGUCUUUUGUUAAGAGUGCUCCUGUCAAUGUUGAGUAAGGACACACACCUGAUUACACCUGUAGGCUACCUGACCUGAUUACACAUUGAAGUAGGCCUAUAGGCUACCUGACCUGAUUACACAUAGAAGUGGGCCUAUUGGCUACCUGACCUGAUUACACAUAGAAGUGGGCCUAUUGGCUACCUGACCUGAUUACACAUAGAAGUGGGCCUAUAGGCUACCUGGCCUGAUUACACAUAGAAGUAGGCCUAUAGGCUACCUGACCUGAUUACACAUAGAAGUGGGCCUAUUGGCUACCUGGCCUGAUUACACAUAGAAGUAGGCCUAUAUGCUAGCUGGCCUGAUUACACAUUGAAGUAGGCCUAUAUGCUACCUGGCCUGAUUACACAUAGAAGUAGGCCUAGAGGCUAGCUGGCCUCUGUGUAAAUGUAGACCUAUAAAUGUGCCCAUUUGGGGAUCUGAUACUAUUUCUGAUUGUCUUAACUCACCGUCACUGUGAAGUUUCUCAUAUAAAAAAUGUUCAUCUCAAACAGCAAGUAAGCGAAGUCUGUUUCUACAAAAAAUUCCAGUUCUCUACCUUUUGAUAACCGCUCAACAUGAAAGGGGAAAAAAUGUCAUUCAUUGAUCCGGUGGAAACGUCUUACGUCUUAUCCUUUGUGCAAAUAGCCUACAACUCUGUCUGUCUGUCUGUCUCUGUCUGCCUGUCUGUCUGUCUGUCUGUCUCUGUCUGUCACUCGCUCGGGAGACUCUGAGGGCCCAAAAUAUUUGAUACAAUGUUGCAAGUUUGCUAGCACAGGCCAGACCAAAUUAAUAGUUGAUCAAAUGUUUAAAAUGUCUUGCUGACAGACCACGUGCAGCCAAUUUGAUUGAUAGGAUAACUAUUUUCAGCAGGAUAUUUUCUACCUGCACGCUGCAAUGUUUUUAUUUGUUGGCUUUAUGAAAGCUAGUUUUACAUAUCGGCAAUAGAAGUUACUUUUAGAUUUGUAUCAUUUUGAUAGAAUUUUGAUUAACCACAUGACAUUGAUUUGAGAUAUGAAAACUUUAUGAAUGAAAUGAAACCGUUCCAUGAAAAUGUGCACAUGAAAAUCACAACUGGCAAAUCAGUAGAAAUGGUACUAUACCUUCGCACUCCAAAUGGAAAAGGUUGCCGACCGGCAACGUCAGGAGCAUAACAGAAGGCCAGCGGGAGAAGGAGAGUCGGGAACAGAUUUUUUUUUUACUUCUGGUUAGGCAAUAUUGAUCUCUGGCUGCCUCUUGAUUCAUUUUAUUUCAACACAUAUAUAUAUAUGGAAAAAUACAAGUUUUAAAAUGUAAACAUUUUGGUAGAAAGAAAACAAGACUCUCGGUCGACCAGGAAUAAAUAAAAAAAUGUUGGGACAGUCCCAAUAGCUUUAUUCCCUGUAUUGUACAGCCUACUGUUAUGAAGUCAUAUGUAUAUCACACCAACUGACUGGUUCUUCUGAUGUUGUUCACACAGGAGACCAUGUUGAGAUAUUCUCUACAUCCGGAGAGCAACAGCAGGAAGAUCACAGAGUUAAGAGGUCUCACCACUGCCCACAUUGUGAGGAGAUUUUCCCAAUUCUAUCAAAACUAGAAAUACACCUAAAAAUACACACAGGAGAUAAUCUGUAUUCCUGCACUGACUGUACGAAGAGUUUCACAACAUCACAGGCUCUGACAGUUCAUCUGCGAGUCCACACUGGAGAAAAAC